AGCAGCCGCAGUAAUUCCAGCUCUAAUAGCGUAUACUAAAGUUGUUGUGGUUAAAAAGCUCGUAGUUGAAUUUCGGGAUCAGUUCGCUGGUCGUGCCUUCGGUAUGUACUGGUGUUACUGGUUCCUACCUUCUGACGAAUCGUCAUGUCAUUAAUUUGGUGUGGCGGGGAAUCAGGACUGUUACUUUGAAAAAAUUAGAGUGUUUAAAGCAGGCUCGCGCUUGAAUACAUUAGCAUGGAAUAAUGAAAUAGGACGUUCGAUCCUAUUUUGUUGGUUUCUAGGAUUGACGUAAUGAUUAAUAGGGAUAGUUGGGGGCAUUAGUAUUCAAUUGUCAGAGGUGAAAUUCUUGGAUUUAUUGAAGACUAACUACUGCGAAAGCAUUUGCCAAGGAUGUUUUCAUUAAUCAAGAACGAAAGUUAGGGGAUCGAAGAC
rnacentral:rRNA from 1 species